CGGGUAGAGUAACACGUAGGUAACCUGCCCAUGUGCCCGGGAUAACUUCUGGAAACGGAUGCUAAAACCGGAAUAGGUAGCAGACAAGCAUUUGACUGCUAUUAAAGUGGCUAAGGCCAUGAACAUGGAUGGACCUGCGGUGCAUUAGCUAGUUGGUGAGGUAACGGCCCACCAAGGCGACGAUGCAUAGCCGGCCUGAGAGGGCGGACGGCCACAUUGGGACUGAGACACGGCCCAAACUCCUACGGGAGGCAGCAUG
rnacentral:rRNA from 1 species